UUGAUCCUGGCUCAGGAUGAACGCUGGCGGUCUGCUUAACACAUGCAAGUCGAACGCAACCUUCGGGUUGAGUGGCGGACGGGUGAGUAACGCGUGAGAAUCUGCCUUGGGGUCGGGGACAACCACUGGAAACGGUGGCUAAUACCGGAUAAGCCUUUGGGUAAAAGAUUUAUUGCCCCAAGAGGAGCUCGCGUCUGAUUAGCUAGUUGGUGAGGUAAGAGCUCACCAAGGCAGCGAUCAGUAGCUGGUCUGAGAGGACGAUCAGCCACACUGGGACUGAGACACGGCCCAGACUCCUACGGGAGGCAGCAGUGGGGAAUUUUCCGCAAUGGGCGAAAGCCUGACGGAGCAAGACCGCGUGAGGGAGGAAGGCUCUUGGGUUGUAAACCUCUUUUCUCAGGGAAGAAGCUCUGACGGUACCUGAGGAAUCAGCCUCGGCUAACUCCGUGCCAGCAGCCGCGGUAAUACGGAGGAGGCAAGCGUUAUCCGGAAUUAUUGGGCGUAAAGCGUCCGCAGGUGGCGAUUCAAGUCUGCUGUCAAAGCACGGGGCUUAACUCCGUUAAGGCAGUGGAAACUGAAUAGCUAGAGUGCCGUAGGGGUACAGGGAAUUCCCGGUGUAGCGGUGAAAUGCGUAGAGAUCGGGAAGAACAUCGGUGGCGAAAGCGCUCUACUGGACGGCAACUGACACUCAGGGACGAACGCUACGGGAGCGAAUGGGAUUAGAUACCCCAGUAGUCCUAGCUGUAAACGAUGGAUACUAGGU
rnacentral:rRNA from 1 species